rnacentral:rRNA from 1 species
GACGAACGCUGGCGGCGUGCUUAACACAUGCAAGUCGAACGGAAAGGCCCUGCUUUUGUGGGGUGCUCGAGUGGCGAACGGGUGAGUAACACGUGAGUAACCUGCCCUUGACUUUGGGAUAACUUCACGAAACUGGGGCUAAUACCGGAUAUGAGCUCCUGCUGCAUGGUGGGGGUUGGAAAGUUUCGGCGGUUGGGGAUGGACUCGCGGCUUCUCCGCUUGUUGGUGGGGUAGUGGCUUACCAAGGCUUUGACGGGUAGCCGGCAUGAGAGGGUGACCGGCCACAUUGGGACUGAGAGACGGACCAGACGCCUACGGGAGGCAGCAGUGGGGAAUAUUGCACAAUGGGCGGAAGCCUGAUGCAGCAACGCCGCGUGCGGGAUGACGGCCUUCGGGUUGUAAACCGCUUUCGCCUGUGACGAAGCGUGAGUGACGGUAAUGGGUAAAGAAGCACCGGCUAACUACGUG